rnacentral:lncRNA from 1 species
CCCAUGCUGCCUCCUGUCCCAGGGCUUCUGUGGCUGGCCCAGGAUGGGGAACGCAGUCAGGGAACACAAUGUGGCUCCUUGUUCCCCAGCUCAGCCUGCUGGAAUUGGCCCGUUUCCUGCCUAGGCCUUGGGGCCUUUUCCAAGGGUGGACACACACCUCUGCGCAUGUGUGGAGGACAAUGUUGGGGAAUAGGUUCUCUCCUUCUGCCAUGUGGGCGGGUUCUGUGAUCAAACUCAGGUCUUCAGACUUGGAUCCACACACCUUUACCAGCGGUGCCACCUCCCCAGCCCUUCUGGAACGCAUCCUAACGUGCAUUCUCAGAAGGAAACAGGAGAAGGUUCUGGGGAUUGAAAUCAGCUCACCAGGCUUGCUGGCCAGUGUGUUAACCCUCUAAGCCAUCUUGCCAGCCCCAAGAUCAGAGAAAUGAAUAGGUCUUGCCUGAGUUCCCACAGCUGGCAAAUGGAAGGGCAUCUAAGGCCAGACUAAAGGAAGGAACAGGAUCUGGAAAGUGUGACAGCUAGGUGACAACCAAAGAACGCUAAAUAGGCACCCUGGUGCAUGUGAGGCCUUUUGUCUUCUGACAACAGGGGAAACUGAGGCAGACAGGAAGAGGACCGUAGGAGAACCAGAAUCAAGAUUCAGAGUGGGUGAAGACACCAGCACCGCUCAUGUGGGUCAGAGGACAACUUGUGGAAGUCAGUUCUCUACUUUCCCAUGUGGGCCCUGGGCAGGUUUGCUCUCUUCCUGACUCAGCCUCUGGUGUGCUGGGAUCACGGGUUUGCAACACCCCAACCCACCCCCAGGCCCACUCCAGUUCUUUGGCUAUUUCUGGCUCCAUUUUGGGAAUUCCAGGCCUAGAUCUGUGAUGUCAGCAGAACUUCCCUCUUCUUGGCAUCGGAGGAACUUGUCUUUCUGUCUUCUGGGGUACAGAC